GGAGGGUGCGAGCGUUAAUCGGAAUUACUGGGCGUAAAGCGCGCGUAGGCGGCUUGGUCAGUCGGAUGUGAAAGCCCCGGGCUUAACCUGGGAAUUGCAUUCGAUACUGCCAGACUAGAGUAUGGGAGAGGGAAGCGGAAUUUCCGGUGUAGCGGUGAAAUGCGUAGAUAUCGGAAGGAACACCAGUGGCGAAGGCGGCUUCCUGGCCCAAUACUGACGCUGAGGUGCGAAAGCGUGGGGAGCAAACAGGGAUUAGAUACCCUGGUAGUCCACGCCGUAAACGAUGAGAACUAGAUGUCGGGAGGAUUUGCCUCUCGGUGUCGCAGCUAACGCGUUAAGUUCUCCGCCUGGGGAUACGCCGGCAACGGUA
rnacentral:rRNA from 1 species